UACGUAGGGCGCAAGCGUUGUCCGGAAUUAUUGGGCGUAAAGAGCUCGUAGGCGGCUUGUCACGUCGAUUGUGAAAGCCCCGGGGCUUAACUCCGGGUCUGCAGUCGAUACGGGCUAGCUAGAGUGUGGUAGGGGAGAUCGGAAUUCCUGGUGUAGCGGUGAAAUGCGCAGAUAUCAGGAGGAACACCGGUGGCGAAGGCGGAUCUCUGGGCCAUUACUGACGCUGAGGAGCGAAAGCGUGGGGAGCGAACAGG
rnacentral:rRNA from 1 species